CUCUCUGUGAUUACCUUUAGAGAUCUUUGGUUCAUUUCCCAAUCAAUCUAUCAUAAAGGGAAGAUAAAUAAUACGAAAUUCAAUCAUAGUCUUUUUCAAAAAUGAUGAACGGUUCUUUAUAUUGGUAUGCAAUCAUUUUAAACGUUUCAAAUUUAUGAAAUUAUAUUCGUACAUCAAUGUUUUUGAUACACCAAUAACAAAAACUGAAAUAUAUUGAAUUGAUACAUUUUGUAACUAUUCAAAUUUAUAUCAGAAACCUAAACUUAAUUAU
rnacentral:lncRNA from 1 species